ACUCCUACGGGAGGCAGCAGUGGGGAAUAUUGCACAAUGGGCGCAAGCCUGAUGCAGCCAUGCCGCGUGUAUGAAGAAGGCCUUCGGGUUGUAAAGUACUUUCAGCAGUGAGGAAGGCGAGUACGUUAAUAGCGUGCUCGUUUGACGUUAGCUGCAGAAGAAGCACCGGCUAACUCCGUGCCAGCAGCCGCGGUAAUACGGAGGGGUGCGAGCGUUAAUCGGAAUUACUGGGCGUAAAGCGCAUGCAGGUGGUUUGUUAAGUCAGAUGUGAAAGCCCGGGGCUCAACCUCGGAAUUGCAUUUGAAACUGGCAGACUAGAGUACUGUAGAGGGGGUAGAAUUUCAGGUGUAGCGGUGAAAUGCGUAGAGAUCUGAAGGAAUACCGGUGGCGAAGGCGGCCCCCUGGACAGAUACUGACACUCAGAUGCGAAAGCGUGGGGAGCAAACAGGAUUAGAUACCCUGGUAGCACAGAG
rnacentral:rRNA from 1 species